GGUCCCGCACAAGCGGUGGAGCAUGUGGUUUAAUUCGAUGCAACGCGAAGAACCUUACCAGGGCUUGACAUACUACGAAUCCUUCUGAGAAGAAGGAGUGCCUUCGGGAAUGUAGAUACAGGUGGUGCAUGGCUGUCGUCAGCUCGUGUCGUGAGAUGUUGGGUUAAGUCCCGCAACGAGCGCAACCCUUAUUUUUAGUUACCAACUUGUUGGGUUCUCUAGAAAGACUGCCGGUGACAAACCGGAGGAAGGUGAGGAUGACGUCAAGUCAGCAUGCCCCUUAUGUCCUGGGCUACACACGUGCUACAAUGGCUAAGACAAAGAGUCGCGAGCUUGCAAAAGUCAGCUAAUCUCAUAAAGCCUGUCCCAGUUCGGAUCGGGGUCUGCAACUCGGCCCCGUGAAGUCGGAAUC
rnacentral:rRNA from 1 species